rnacentral:rRNA from 1 species
UACGUAGGUGGCAAGCGUUGUCCGGAUUUAUUGGGCGUAAAGCGCGCGAAGGCGGUACUUUAAGUCUGAUGUGAAAUCUUGCGGCUCAACCGCAAGCGGUCAUUGGAAACUGGGGGACUUGAGUACAGAAGAGGAAAGCGGAAUUCCACGUGUAGCGGUGAAAUGCGUAGAGAUGUGGAGGAACACCAGUGGCGAAGGCGGCUUUCUGGUCUGUAACUGACGCUGAGGCGCGCAAGCGUGGGGAGCAAACAGG